AGAGUUUGAUCAUGGCUCAGAUUGAACGCUGGCGGCAUGCCUAACACAUGCAAGUCGAACGGCAGCAUUGUCUAGCUUGCUAGACUGAUGGCGAGUGGCGAACGGGUGAGUAACGCGUAGGAAUAUACCUUAAAGAGGGGGACAACUUGGGGAAACUCAAGCUAAUACCGCAUGAGCUCUGAGGAGCAAAGCUGGGGACCGUAAGGCCUGGCGCUUUAGGAAUAGCCUGCGUCCGAUUAGCUAGUUGGUAGGGUAAAGGCCUACCAAGGCGAUGAUCGGUAGCUGGUCUGAGAGGAUGGUCAGCCACACUGGGACUGAGACACGGCCCAGACUCCUACGGGAGGCAGCAGUGGGGAAUAUUGGGCAAUGGAGGAAACUCUGACCCAGCCAUGCCGCGUGAAUGAUGAAGGCCUUAGGGUUGUAAAGUUCUUUCGCCGAUGAAGAUAAUGACGGUAGUCGGAGAAGAAGCCCCGGCUAACUUCGUGCCAGCAGCCGCGGUAAUACGAAGGGGGCUAGCGUUGUUCGGAAUUACUGGGCGUAAAGCGAGCGUAGGUUGCUCGAUAAGUCAGUGGUGAAAGCCCAGAGCUCAACUCUGGAACUGCCAUUGAAACUGUCGAGCUGGAAUCUCAGAGGGGGUAGCGGAAUUCCAAAUGUAGGGGUGAAAUCCGUAGAUAUUUGGAGGAACACCGGUGGCGAAGGCGGCUACCUGGAUGAGUAUUGACACUGAGGCUCGAAAGCGUGGGGAUCAAACAGGAUUAGAUACCCCGGUAGUCC
rnacentral:rRNA from 1 species